CCUGUGGACCUGGACCUUUCGGACUCUGGCCCGGAGGUGGGAUCCUCUCUAUCGACUCUGUGGAGGAGCUGCAGGAGUGCCGGGACUGAGGAGACAGAUGCUGAGCGGCUUGAGGCUGGUCCAUCCCAGAGUGCAUCAGGGUUACAUGGCAGAAGGUCACCUCCCUCUCCCCCAGUUUUGGACGGACAUGCAGUUCCAGCUUGGGUGGCACACAGAAGCUGUACCUUCAGAGGAGAUGGUGACAUAUUUAAUGAUUAAAUAUUUGUCAGUCAGCCACAUUUCAGUGUCACUUCGUCUUUGAAACUGGUUCCACUCAGGUUGAUUGAUGGAAUAAACAAAAAUAGCUAUUUUGGCAGGAGAUUUUGGUGUGUGUCAUCAGCAGUGUUACUUAAGAAUAUUCAGUGCUUCCUUUAUUUCAAAUGUGACACAAGUGCUUUAACUCAGUGCUGUGUAAUAAUUCUUUUUGGCUUGUUCUUUUGACUCAAAUAUAAUACAUACAGUAUACAACUGCACUGGAUUACGAUAGAACAUAUUUCAGAUUCAAGAGUCUUUAUUGUCAUUGUAUAAAACAACAAAACAGCAGAGCAGAGUGGCGCAACUGGAUUAAUAAAUAGAAUAAAAUAAGGCAAUAAAUAACUCAAAGCUCCUGUAAAUAAUGAAUGAUUCAUCUGACUUUUAUUGGAGGGGCUGCUGCUCAGUAUAGGACACAUCACUCAUAUAAUUUGGGACUGACUUCCAACAUCAUAGGCAAAAUGUGUAAAAGAAAUCUGAUGCGUUGAAGAGAUCUACAUGUGAGAUGUUCGGUUGUGUGCUAACUUGGUGCAAUAAAAAUAAAGCUUAAAAAAUGUAAA